GUCAAGUAACGCAAUGAUGUUCCUUUACACUGUUUGCUUUCCUCGCGUAACAACAAUGUAUCAAGUAACACAAUAGAAAAAUGGAUGAGUCAAGUAACAACAGAUUUUUCACAGAAUAUUGUAGCACAUAAUCUGUUGAUAAAAAACAGAUCAAAGACAGAUAACUCCUCCAGAAAUUCCAUAGAAUCUUUAUAAGCAUCCAUUGAUCAAAGUAUUUAAAACAUGCAUACAUAAAUAAAAACUUCUAGAAGUUCACUGCAUACUGGACAUCCACAAAAUCAGGAGAACACUCUUCACCAAAUGCUCUUGAGAUUCUUGAGUGAUAAUUUGAAGUCACUUCCUUUGAGCUUCAUCUGAAGAGAACAAGUAUAACACAUGAGUACAAGAACGAUAUGUAAUAUGCACAUUGAAGAUAAUUAUCUUUCUAUCAUUAGAGUGAAAGAUAAUUAUCUUUCUAUUAUCAGAGUUGAACCGUACAUAAUUAUCUUUCUAUUAUCAGUAAUGUCUCAUGUCACAGUGUAAAAGCACAGAUAACUUGGUGCACAGGUAAAAGUAGCUGCAAAAGAACAGAUAAACCAUGGGAAAAUCUUUUUUGCUUCUAUGAAUCCUUCUACUAUUUGCAACUGCUAGUGAUAAUUAUUUAGAAAAUACCACUUCACCUAUAAUGUGAACUGCCUGAACCCGAACAAAACAACUCCGGUUGCUUAUUACUGAUGAUGGAUGAUUUGUCACAAGACAAUGGCUAAUUGACUGACAGUAAGGAUGCUGAUUGACCGAUAGUAAGGACGCUAAUUGACUGACAGUAAGGAUAAUGUAUAUAUUUAUGUGAGCCACACAGAUAGUAAGGAUGCUAAUUGACUGAUAGUAAGGAUGAUGCUAAUUGUGAGCCAGACAGAACUGAAUAAAAUAGCUAGCCUUACAUGAAAUUCCACAAGAAAAAGCGAUAAUUAUAUUUAUUUCUAGGAAACUUCGAUCAGGACGCCAAUCAACAAAGGAAAAAAGUGAAAUGUUUAGAGCUUGAUAUUGACACGAAUGAACACCAAACUCCAAACAAGCAUCAUACUCAGUACAUGCAUGAAAUUGUUCUUGGCACAAAAUGUCACGCACACAUGCAUGGAUGGUUGUCUAGAUUCAAGAAGAGUUAGGUAGAGAUCAGACUUGUUAGAGACUGGAUAAAUGACAGAUUCAUGGAGCAGAUCGUGUAGUAAAGAUGGGAGUAGCGGAGGUAAGGCUAACAAGCAAAGCAAGUGGCUGGAGCAGCAUGUGUACCACAAUGGGGAGAACUCGAAGAGGCGGCCACGACUGGAGAAGAUGUGGCCUCUUCAAGAAACGACGCAGAACAACACGGGAGAUUAGGGUUUCGGGGGAAAUUUGGAGAUAGAGCUGGAUUCAAGAGGGAGGGAGGGGAGAGAGAGAGCGAGGGAGGGAGAUGGAGAGGUUACGUCCUCACCUGUAGAGGCCGAUGGUGCAAGGGAGGCAGCGGCCGGCGGCAAUGGUGCCUGGACAAGGACGCGGGGCAUGUUCUCACGCGGGGGAGAGGAGUCGUGGGAAAGGAUAACGGCGGGAAGGCAGCGUUAUCAGAUUGGUUGGGAAAUGAAUGGAGCGGUAUUUGAUUACAUGGUAUCCCG
rnacentral:lncRNA from 1 species